rnacentral:rRNA from 1 species
GAGCGGGCGUAGCAAUACGUCAGCGGCAGACGGGUGAGUAACGCGUGGGAACGUACCUUUUGGUUCGGAACAACACAGGGAAACUUGUGCUAAUACCGGAUAAGCCCUUACGGGGAAAGAUUUAUCGCCGAAAGAUCGGCCCGCGUCUGAUUAGCUAGUUGGUAGGGUAAUGGCCUACCAAGGCGACGAUCAGUAGCUGGUCUGAGAGGAUGAUCAGCCACAUUGGGACUGAGACACGGCCCAAACUCCUACGGGAGGCAGCAGUGGGGAAUAUUGGACAAUGGGGGCAACCCUGAUCCAGCCAUGCCGCGUGAGUGAUGAAGGCCCUAGGGUUGUAAAGCUAUUUUGUGCGGGAAGAUAAUGACGGUACCGCAAGAAUAAGCCCCGGCUAACUUCGUG